rnacentral:lncRNA from 1 species
AAAAAAAAUUAAAUAUUAAAUAUUAAGUAAAAAUUUCUCAUCAAAUAAUAAUACAUAUAUUUUAUCAUAAUCCGACUAAAUUGGCAACCUUGUGUGUUUAGCUACGAACAAAGACAAUAGAUAAAGAAAACUAAAUUGCUUGAGAAAAGAGGAAGGAAAUGAAGUGUUACUUUUAUUCAAUUAUCAUAUAUGGCGACGCCAUUUUUAUUUUUCUUUAAUAAGUAAGCACUCCCAUACAUAGAGGACAUAACGUUUAAAUACAUA